UUCUGACUUACUUCACUCUGUAUGACAGACGCUAGGUCUAUCCACCUCAUUACAAAUAGCUCAAUUUCGUUUCUUUUUAUGGCUGAGUAAUAUUCCAUUGUAUAUAUGUGCCACAUCUUCUUUAUCCAUUCAUCCGAUGACGGGCACUUAGGUUGUUUCCAUCUCCGGGCUAUUGUAAAUAGAGCUGCAAUGAACAUUUUGGUACAUGACUCUUUUUGAAUUUUGGUUUUCUCAGGGUAUAUGCCCAGUAGUGGGAUUGCUGGGUCAUAUGGUAGUUCUAUUUGUAGUUUUUGAAGGAACCUCCAUACUGUUCUCCAUAGUGGCUGAACCAAUUCAUAUUCCCACCAGCAGUGCAAGAGUGUUCCCUUUUCUCCACACCCUCUCCAGCAUUUAUUGUUUCUAGAUUUUUUGAUG